rnacentral:rRNA from 1 species
CCUACGGGUGGCAGCAGUGGGGAAUCUUCCGCAAUGGGCGCAAGCCUGACGGAGCAAUGCCGCGUGAACGAAGAAGGUCUUCGGAUUGUAAAGUUCUGUCCUUAUCGAAGAGAGAGAAUAGAGUGAAAAAUGAUAUACUAGGACGGUAGAUGAGGAGGAAGCCCCGGCUAACUACGUGCCAGCAGCCGCGGUAAUACGUAGGGGGCGAGCGUUAUCCGGAUUCACUGGGUGUAAAGGGAGCGUAGACGGCCAUGCAAGCCAGGGGUGAAAGCCCGGGGCCCAACCCCGGGACUGCCCUUGGAACUGCAUGGCUGGAGUGCGGGAGGGGCAGGCGGAAUUCCUGGUGUAGCGGUGAAAUGCGUAGAUAUCAGGAGGAACACCGGCGGCGAAGGCGGCCUGCUGGACCGCGACUGACGUUGAGGCUCGAAAGCGUGGGGAGCGAACAGGAUUAGAUACCCCGGUAGUC